rnacentral:tRNA from 1 species
GCCGCAGUAGCUCAACCUGGGAGAGCAUUCCGCUGAAGACGGAAGGGUUGCAGAUUCAAAUCCUGCCUGCGGCA